AGAGUUUGAUUCCGGCUCAGGACGAACGCUGGCGGCGUGCCUAAUACAUGCAAGUCGAGCGAGCUUGCCUAGAUGAUUUUAGUGCUUGCACUAAAUGAAACUAGAUACAAGCGAGCGGCGGACGGGUGAGUAACACGUGGGUAACCUGCCCAAGAGACUGGGAUAACACCUGGAAACAGAUGCUAAUACCGGAUAACAACACUAGACGCAUGUCUAGAGUUUGAAAGAUGGUUCUGCUAUCACUCUUGGAUGGACCUGCGGUGCAUUAGCUAGUUGGUAAGGUAACGGCUUACCAAGGCAAUGAUGCAUAGCCGAGUUGAGAGACUGAUCGGCCACAUUGGGACUGAGACACGGCCCAAACUCCUACCGGAGGCAGCAGUAGGGAAUCUUCCACAAUGGACGAAAGUCUGAUGGAGCAACGCCGCGUGAGUGAAGAAGGGUUUCGGCUCGUAAAGCUCUGUUGGUAGUGAAGAAAGAUAGAGGUAGUAACUGGCCUUUAUUUGACGGUAAUUACUUAGAAAGUCACGGCUAACUACGUGCCAGCAGCCGCGGUAAUACGUAAGUGGCAAGCGUUGUCCGGAUUUAUUGGGCGUA
rnacentral:rRNA from 1 species